rnacentral:rRNA from 1 species
AUUGAACGCUGGCGGAAUGCUUUACACAUGCAAGUCGAACGGCAGCACGGACUUCGGUCUGGUGGCGAGUGGCGAACGGGUGAGUAAUGUAUCGGAACGUGCCCAGUCGUGGGGGAUAACGUAGUGAAAAUUACGCUAAUACCGCAUACGAUCUAUGGAUGAAAGCGGGGGAUCGCAAGACCUCGCGCGACUGGAGCGGCCGAUAUCAGAUUAGGUAGUUGGUGGGGUAAAGGCCCACCAAUCCAACGAUCUGUAGCUGGUCUGAGAGGACGACCAGCCACACGGGAACUGAGACACGGUCCAGACUCCUACGGGAGGCAGCAGUGGGGAAUUUUGGACAAUGGGCGAAAGCCUGAUCCAGCCAUUCCGCGUGCAGGAUGAAGGCCCUCGGGUUGUAAACUGCUUUUGUACAGAACGAAAAGGUUUCUACUAAUACUAGGAGCUCAUGACGGUACUGUAAGAAUAAGCACCGGCUAACUACGUGCCAGCCGCCGCCGUAA